rnacentral:lncRNA from 1 species
UAUAAAGUUACAAUGAAAGUUCUUAUGAAAAUGCGGUGGGUAGGUGCGGUAGUGAGGCAGUAUCUAUGACUUUCGACGGCAAUGGAGAUGAGGUGGAGAACUAUCUGUGGAGGUGUAGAAAAGAGUUGCGGCGGCUAGUUCAUAAAGUAAAAAAGUAAUUUUCGUAUUUUCAUUUUUAACAAUUCUUAAAUUAAGAGUAACUAAGUCAUUUGCUUUGGGCUACGGGUAAGUGCAGUAAGAA